GAGGUAAGAGCAUUUGGUGGAUGCCUAGGCAUACACAGGCGAUGAAGGACGUGGCACGCUGC
rnacentral:rRNA from 1 species